GACCACCGACGAAUGGGGCGCGUGCAGCGCUUCCUGUGACGGUGGCCACAAACUGAGGAGGGUCUGGUGCUCGGAGACGGCCAACAACACCCUGGUGCAGGUGCCCAAAUCGCGCUGCAGCCAAGACCCGCCCACAAGCCGGGAACCGUGCAACUUCGUGGCCUGCCCCAAAUGGUACCAGGGCCCAUGGUCGGUGUGCUCAGUGACCUGCGGCGACACGGGUCAGCAGACGCGAGCCGUGUUCUGUCGGGACGCUCGCGGCCACCUCAGCGACCACUGCGACCCGGCGCUGAAGCCGGACGGACGCCAGCCGUGCCCCAGUCUCAUCUCGUGCCCUCUCAGCCAGGUCAAGGACGCGCAAGGGCUGCCGCUGGAGCUGCCGUACCAGCUACCGUUGGCGGCGGCGCAGCCCCUCUUCCCCGCGGCCGUCCAGUCCAGCCAGGCCCUCACCCCCAGCACCGACCCCAAGUGAG